UCUCUAGGGUUUUUGAAGUGGUGCCCUUUUUAGGGUUUGUUUUGAUAUGGUGCCAUGAAUCUUAGCCAUUGAUUGGAGCAUUGUUUCUAAGUCCUUGGAUCUAUUUUCUUAUUUGCUAGCCCUUCAAGUAGUUGCUCUUAGUCCCCUUGGUGCCUAAGUUUUGCUUUGGGUCUGGACCAAUUUGGGUCUUGAUUAGUAUAAACUUUCAAUUUCUUGCAAAAGAGGAUAAGAAGUAUCAAAUUCUACAUAAUGUGGAUCAAUUACUAAGGA
rnacentral:lncRNA from 1 species